UGAUUUGAUUUGGACAUGUAGACCUUUUAAACUCGUGUCAAGGAGUGUUUCACUUGAUUUGGACUUGUAGACCUUUUAAACUCGUGUCAAGGAGUAUUUCACUUGAUUUGGACUUGUAGACCUUUUAAACUCGUGUCAAGGAGUGUUUGAUUGGGACAUGUAGACCUUUUAAACUCGUGUCAAGGAGUACUUGAUUUGAUUUGGACAUGUAGACCUUUUAAACUCGUGUCAAGGAGUGUUUCACUUGAUUUGGACUUGUAGACCUUUUAAACUCGUGUCAAGGAGUAUUUCGUUUGAUUUGGGACAUGUAGACCUUUUAAACUCGUGUCAAGGAGUGCUUCGUUUGAUUUGUCAUAUUGCAUAGGAUGUUGCUUCUUCAAAAGACUUGCCCACAUCCUCAUGAUCUUCUUGUUCUUCUUCGACAUGUUCUUCAUUGAGCUGGUACGGCUUUUGGAAUGAUGGUUCUUCGACUUCAUUUGCAGUUAUGCUCAAUUCCAUAUCAUGUGCUCGAGUGGCCAACUCUUCAAAACUUUUAGGUUGAAUUCCUUGAAGGAUAUAUCGGAGUCCCCAUUGCAUUCCUUGGAUGCACAGUUCAAUAGCUGAUGUCUCGGGCAGUCGAUCCUUGCAAUUAAGACUCAAAUUUCUCCAACGGUUGAUGUAGUGGAUGACAGGUUCCUUCUUCCAUUGGCGGGAAUUGGUGAGCUCAAUCAUGCUGACUGUUCUUCGAGUGCUGUAAAAGCGGUUGAGAAAUUCUUCCUCCAAGUGCUUC
rnacentral:lncRNA from 1 species